AAAAGAUGUUUGUUGAGUUAAUUAGUCUCACAUGGAGCUGUAAUUCACGUGGCUUUAAAGCGUAGUACACGUGAGCCUAAAAGAAAAGAGAGAGAGGUUAAUUUGAGAUUGUUGUAAACAUUAUCAUUACGUUAAUGCUGUUUGUAAUGUGAGGAAAUCACUUACCUAAAGGGUAUUGUGCACCCAGAUAAACAUAUGAUGUGUUGCGAUCUCUGACUUUUAUUAGGUCAGGUUUUUGAAUUCAUCGGAAAGUUCCGUUGAUGGCGAGCUACCCAGUCGAAUACUAGGAGAGGAGGGGAGGAGCGUUAUCAAGAGGAUUAACAGCGACUGAAAUCGUGUUUCUUUCGUUUUCUGCGGGAAGGAUGCUUUUCUUUUCCUUUGGAUGGAACUGUGAAUGGACAGAUGCAUCGUUGAGUUUGAGAUAAGUGACUGUGAAACAAAGAAAAACUGAUAUCAGUGACUAAUUGAACUGAACUGUGACAUACUUCCAAAGCAUUUGUUUUGGACAAAAAGGUAUCAUUUUACACAGUGAAUUUGGUGUCACUGUAAGUUGUGAUUACUGAGAAAUUGAAGAGUUUGUAUUUUUUUUUCCUACAUUGAACAAAAGUGAUUUGUUCUUAUUGUCAUAUUGUUGAUUUAAUUAUUGCUUUCUUUAAAAGACCUACUAUUUAAUUUGGGGAAAAAACAUUAUUAAAAGUAAAGUACUUACU